GGGGCGUUAGCUCAGUUGGUAGAGCAGUUGACUUUUAAUCAAUUGGUCGCAGGUUCGAAUCCCGCACGACCCACCA
rnacentral:tRNA from 1 species